rnacentral:rRNA from 1 species
UACGUAGGCAGCAAGCGUUGUUCGGAUUUACUGGGCGUAAAGGGUGUGUAGGCGGCCUGUUAAGUUCUGUGUGAAAUCUCCCGGCUCAACCGGGAGGGUGCGCGGAAAACUGGCGGGCUAGAGUGCGGGAUGGGAGAGUAGAAUUCCUGGUGUAGCGGUGAAAUGCGUAGAUAUCAGGAGGAAUACCGGUGGUGUAGACGGCUCUCUGGACCGCAACUGACGCUGAAACACGAAAGCGUGGGUAGCAAACAGG